rnacentral:rRNA from 1 species
UGGACGAAAGUCUGAUGGAGCAACGCCGCGUGAGUGAAGAAGGAUUUCGGUUCGUAAAACUCUGUUGCAAGGGAAGAACAAGUAGCGUAGUAACUGGCGCUACCUUGACGGUACCUUGUUAGAAAGCCACGGCUAACUACGUGCCAGCAGCCGCGGUAAUACGUAGGUGGCAAGCGUUGUCCGGAAUUAUUGGGCGUAAAGCGCGCGCAGGUGGUUCCUUAAGUCUGAUGUGAAAGCCCCCGGCUCAACCGGGGAGGGUCAUUGGAAACUGGGAACUUGAGUGCAGAAGAGGAUAGUGGAAUUCCAAGUGUAGCGGUGAAAUGCGUAGAGAUUUGGAGGAACACCAGUGGCGAAGGCGACUGUCUGGUCUGUAACUGACACUGAGGCGCGAAAGCGUGGGGAGCAAACAGGAUUAGAUACCCUGGUAGUCCACGCCGUAAACGAUGAGUGCUAAGUGUUGGGGGGUUUCCGCCCCUCAGUGCUGCAGCUAACGCAUUAAGCACUCCGCCUGGGGAGUACG